rnacentral:rRNA from 1 species
UACGUAGGUGGCAAGCGUUGUCCGGAUUUACUGGGCGUAAAGAGCGCGCAGGCGGUCGUUCAAGUCGCGUGUGAAAGCCCCCGGCUCAACUGGGGAGGGUCACGCGAUACUGAUCGACUCGAAGGCAGGAGAGGGUAGUGGAAUUCCCGGUGUAGUGGUGAAAUGCGUAGAUAUCGGGAGGAACACCAGUGGCGAAGGCGGGUCUCUGGGCCGUAACUGACGCUGAGGAGCGAAAGCAUGGGGAGCGAACAGG